rnacentral:tRNA from 1 species
GGAGAGAUGGCUCAGAGGUUAAGAGCCUCUGGUGCUCUGGCAGAGGACCUGGGUUCGAGUCCCAGCAUCUGCA